AUAAUAACGAUAAGGGCGACGUAAAGUCGCCCAUUUUGUCUCUUCUUAACAUUAAUUGGUUUGGCCGCCGACAAGUUAAGAAGCUUCAAUUCUGGCGUUACGCAUAGCUGGCUGUUAGCUCUAUUCCUUACUAGUUCACGACUAACAGUUUUUGUAACCAAAACCUGAGCUUAGCUCGGGUUUUUUUAUG
rnacentral:sRNA from 15 species